rnacentral:ncRNA from 2 species
GGUCACGAGACCUCGCCCAUGGCCCGGCAGGCGAGGCAGCAACCCCCAGAUGGCAGCGGGGUGCUCCCGGGUAUCGACCAGGCCGUCAGGACCCCCGACGGCAAGUGCCCCGA